CACGUAGGGCGCAAGCGUUGUCCGGAAUUAUUGGGCGUAAAGAGCUCGUAGGCGGUCUGUUACGUCUGCUGUGAAAACCCGGGGCUUAACCCUGGGCUUGCAGUGGAUACGGGCAGACUAGAGGCAGGUAGGGGAGAGUGGAAUUCCCGGUGUAGCGGUGAAAUGCGCAGAUAUCGGGAGGAACACCGGUGGCGAAGGCAGCUCGCUGGGACGUUACUGACGCUGAGACGCGAAAGCGUGGGGAGCAAACAGG
rnacentral:rRNA from 1 species